UUCCAUUCCCCUGUUUCCCCUGAUAGGUUUGUGAUGUGUUAGUCCCUCCUUAGACUCCUCCCCUGCUCUACCCUCAUUGGUUGUUGUUCCUACUCCCCUCCUCCUGAGUUCCUCUAUAAAACCUUUGUUCGCCCUCCCCAGAGGGUCUUGGGGCUCACUGAAUAAAACCAUCCUGUUCAUCCCCAAGUCCCGUGUUGCCUCCGUCCGUCCCCGUGCUGACAACUGGGACUGCAGAGCUUCACAGGGGGAGUGACCGCCCGUUCUCUUCCCUCUUGCCGCCCAGCAUGCCACCGCUCGGGGUAUCGCGGCGAGAAGAGCUGACCACGACAUCUAUGUGCAAUAAAUACACUUAUGAUUGAAGGAGAAAUUAAAAAUCUAAAACAUAAAAGGGCUAAGAGAAUCUGUGGAAACAGAGUGGACUGAUGUAAAAAAUGCCAGAAAAUGUUCUUCUAAUGAGCAUGGAAAAAGCUCUUGAAGUGGAUCCAUUGAUGCUACGUAGGUGAACUGCUGAAAUCAGUAUUCCUGUUUUGUCUCAAGGUUGCUGCGAGUGUCAUACCUGGGAAUUUUUUGGCAAGUACUGUGGCACAAAAAUCCAUGCAUUCUGACCAGAAUACUGAUUAUGUUACAAUUCCCUGACCCAGUAAAGGGUCAUAGAAAAACACAACUAUUGGCUUUUAUAAAUGAAACGUGAGCAGAAGCCUGGAGUUGUUUUCAUGAAUAUUCAAAGACACAAACAGAAAGAAAUAAAUUAUUUCCAUUACCUGUCCUUAUUUUAA